rnacentral:misc_RNA from 1 species
CAGGACUCGCAAGACUCCUACAACCCUGUGAACCUACUAUACGAACGUUGCUUCGGCGGGUGCGCCCCGGGGAUUCGUUCCCGCGGCGCGUCAGCCCGCCGGCAGCCUACAAAUUCUGUUUCUUUGCGUUGGCAUCUCGAGAAAAACAAAUGAGUUA